CUCCUUCCCCGAGCCCCGGACUAGCUCAUCCUGCAGGCCGCUCACGUCAUUCCUCCCAGGGCUUCUCUGCCAGGCUUUCUUCCCCCCUCCUCUGUCCCGCCAGCUUCUCCCAGCGCUCUUACUGGGGACAGAAGGGAGUUGAAUGACAGGGUCCCCAAAAUGGGAUGCCCAGAGAAACUGAGUCCCGCCCUCCCCCCUUCACACUUGGGGUCCUCCGUCCUCAUCUCCUCCCCAUGCCCCAUUCCAGCUCUCUAUCCAUUCUACCCACUUCAAAUGUGCUCCCUUGUGGCUUCCUCCUCCCGAUCCCCACCCCCAAGAGCCAUACAGGCCGGCCCCCGAAGGCCAAGAAAUUGGGGGCAGUGGGACGGCGAUGCAUCGAAGAUCCCCAGAGUUCGAGUAAAGCAACAGAGGGGUCCGGAGGGAAGAAAGAAGCACCCGCCGAGCCCGUCUUGAGUUUCUCCAGACAAAGCUGGGGGUUCCAGUCGCUGUGGUAACAGGUCUGAGGGAAAUCGGUGGGUGUCGGCCCCAGCACAAAGCCCGCUUGCAUGGCAGCACCAUCUCUUAGCAACCGCCUCCCUCUCCUCUUGGCGGCUGCUGCCGAUCCCGGGGGCGAGCACCCGGGAGAGAACAAGGCAGUUAAGAUCCCGAGGUGGAGAGGAGCAGGGUUCCCGGCUCCGGGUCGGCGGCCCUGUCUUGGACUUCAGGAAGCCCAGUGGCUCUGCCUGAGAGGGAUUUGGUGCCCAAGGAGAGAUGCCCUCCCUGAAGCCUUGGCCCCACAGCUGCAGCCCUGAGUAGAGGUCGGGGAGGCACCUCGGAGAAUUCAGGAGCGCGAGGGGGCCAACGCGCGGAGCCUGUUCUGGGGAGAGGAAGCAGGAAGCCCCUUCGAGUGGGUCAAGCUCUGGCCACGGCCUCCGGAAGCUUUCGACUUGGGAGGGAGAUGAGGUGGGGACGGGCUCAGCUGCUGGGUCUCCCCGGGAGCCCGAACGGAUAUCUGUAGGAUCCGUUGCCAGAGCGCCUCAGGGAGCGUGGGCAUCUCAGUGAGUGUAGAAGCCUCCAGGCUCUGGGAGGAUCGGACAACGAUCUUUACUCCACGGGACAUCCGCUUCGUGGAGGGUGAGCAAGGGGGCCUGGUUAGGAAGCUGGGCCUGUGGCCCCUGGGUCCUUGCCGACCACCCCCAUUUGAGGCCCAGGGGCAGGUCCAUAAUAAAGCAUAGUACCCUGC